AGACCCGAAACCCGGUGAUCUAGCCAUGGGCAGGUUGAAGGUUGGGUAACACUAACUGGAGGACCGAACCGACUAAUGUUGAAAAAUUAGCGGAUGACCUGUGGCUGGGGGUGAAAGGCCAAUCAAACCGGGAGAUAGCUGGUUCUCCCCGAAAGCUAUUUAGGUAGCGCCUCGUGAAUUCAUCUCCGGGGGUAGAGCACUGUUUCGGCUAGGGGGCCAUCCCGGCUUACCAACCCGAUGCAAACUGCGAAUACCGGAGAAUGUUAUCACGGGAGACACACGGCGGGUGCUAACGUCCGUCGUGAAGAGGGAAACAACCCAGACCGCCAGCUAAGGUCCCAAAGUCAUGGUUAAGUGGGAAACGAUGUGGGAAGGCCCAGACAGCCAGGAUGUUGGCUUAGAAGCAGCCAUCAUUUAAAGAAAGCGUAAUAGCUCACUGGUCGAGUCGGCCUGCGCGGAAGAUGUAACGGGGCUAAACCAUGCACCGAAGCUGCGGCAGCGACGCUGAUGCGUUGUUGGGUAGGGGAGCGUUCUGUAAGCCUGCGAAGGUGGCCUGUGAGGGUUGCUGGAGGUAUCAGAAGUGCGAAUGCUGACAUAAGUAACGAUAAAGCGGGUGAAAAGCCCGCUCGCCGGAAGACCAAGGGUUCCUGUCCAACGUUAAUCGGGGCAGGGUGAGUCGACCCCUAAGGCGAGGCCGAAAGGCGUAGUCGAUGGGAAACGGGUUAAUAUUC
rnacentral:rRNA from 2 species